AUAAACUUUUUACUUCACACUGGACUUUAUAAGAGGAUUUAAUAUAUAAGAUGGAGUUCAUCAGUUGACCCGAGGAGGGCAGCAAUACGCCUUUGAAGCGUCUAAGCUGCCGCAAAUCACACAAGAAGAAGAAGAUGAAGACUAUGGACAUUGAGAAAGGACUCUUACAUUUUUACAUGGACGAUCUGAGCAGAGACUUUUAUUUUUGAUACGAAAAGAUUGCGUGUGAUACAGCUGGCAUGAACAGACGUGAUUCCCGAUUCUCUUGUUUGUUUCCUGUAUUCUCAGCCACUGCCUCUUUGUAACUGUCUCUACAGAUGGGCAGUAAACAACACCCUUGUACUGACUAUGCCCAGACUCAGCUGUCCUGAACUGCCCACAUUUCUUGCAGAUGGGGGGCGCACAUUGGCAGGGAGUAGAGGGUCAGCCGCCACAGACAACUGGCUAGGCAGAUGCAGCCCUUGCAUCAGUACUGCACUGUCCUGUCUUUUUACCCUCCUGUUGUGCCACUGAACCAAGGGGGUGUGGCUCACGUCCACCAGCUGCAGGGUGGUCUGCUGCAUAACAGUCGCAUUGGCCAGAAUGCGCUGCCUGAUUUUCCUGUAGUCCCCAGGAUGAGGUCCCAUCUGGACACUGUGCCAGUCCCCUUCUUCUUGGGACUCUUAUGAAUGGCACAGAGCCUGACAAAAAUUGUCUCACCUAAGCAGAAAGAGCAUAUGAUAAACAGCAAAUGAGAAAACAAAACAUGUGCAAAUGUUAAUGUAUGACAGGUCAAAGGGAGAAAGUUGAAUGUUCCUGACCUGCUGGUUGGUGAGGGCCAGAGAGGGCUGAAUCCUAAGCUCCAUGAGAUAAUCCGCCUGUCCAUACCUGGCAUACCAGAGCUAUCCAAAGCCUGAAAAAAAAAAAAAAAAAAAAAAAAAAAGACUGUGAAGUGGGACAAAACACAAAUACAUAUAUACAUAUUCCUUGCUGCCUUUUUGUUUACCAGCGUUAAACUGUUAAAAAUCUACAGGUCAGCCAGAUUCUAUGGGUUUUUCCUAACAUAACAGUAUGCAUUUACAGUUACAAUACAAAUUAAAAAAAAAAAAAUUACAUAAAACAUAAUUACAUAACCACAGUGAAUAACUCUACAUGGCAAAUUAAAUUUUAUGUGCAUGUCUUACAAAUCAUAAAUCUGCAUUUAGAUUUCAGAAGAAUCAUUUUGACAUUUGUAAUACAAAUGUUGCCUUGUCCGUCAACUGAUAUACACUACUGUAAUAAAGUAGCAAAUGUAAUAAUGUAGCAAAUAAAAAUCUUCUUUUAAAACACAAAA